rnacentral:rRNA from 1 species
AUGCGCAGCUUCCUUUGGAAUGGGGAUGACGAGUGUAGCGGAGCCAAAUGUUUAGUAAACUGGAAGAGGGUGUGCUCCCCUAAGGAUCUGGGUGGCCUGGGAAUCAAAGAUAUUGUCUGUUUUGGUAGGGCACUACGACUGCGAUGGGCUUGGCUUGAAUGGAGCCCCACCCCUAGGCCUUGGCUGGGCACUCCCAUCCCUUGUGACCGCACUGAUAGGUUGCUAUUCUCGGCUUGCACUGACAUCUCUCUGGGAAAUGGGAAGAGCACACAUUUCUGGCAUGAUCAUUGGUUGGAUGGUAUGGCUCCGGUCAAUAUUGCUACUGGCCUGUUUUUGGCGCGGAGAAAAACUUUGACUGUGCAGGAGGCUUUGGACCGUGGCCGCUGGAUGAAGGGCCUGGAGAGGAUUUCCUCUGAGGAUCUUCUCGACCGGUUUGUCAGGCUGUGGGAGAUGCUCCAACCCAUUGUGCUCUCUGAUAUCCCAGAUUCUAUCCGGUGGAAGUUCUCUGCUGAUAGCUGCUACUCCGCUGCCUCCGCCUACAAGGCUCAGUUCUUGGGCCGCAUUGCGGAACCGCAACUACACUCUGUUUGGAAGAGCAAGGCCGAACCGAAGAUCAAAUCCUCAAUGACGAUCAAGGGCUGGUGGAGGAAGGUCUGGAAGCUGCAUAGCAAUCGAACUAGGCGCAUGCAGAUCACCUCGGCUGUAUACGUCGGUUGGAAUCUUUGGAAAGAGAGAAAUAGGCAGACUUUUGAAGGGAAGAGAUGCUCCCCUGAGACUGUUGCUGCUAUGGCUAGAGAUGAAAUAGCAAUGUUAAAGGAGGCUACUUUUUAG